rnacentral:rRNA from 1 species
AUUAAAAACCGAUGCCCUCUGGGCUUACAGGUGAUUCAUGAUAACUUCUCGAAUCGCAUGGCCUUGCGCCGGCGAUGGUUCAUUCAAAUCUCUUCCCUAUCAACUUUCGAUGCGAAGGUCUUGUCUUCGCAUGGUUACAACGGGUAACGGAGGGUUAGGGCUCGAUCCCGGAGAAGGAGCCUGAGAAACGGCUACUACAUCCAAGGAAGGCAGCAGGCGCGCAAAUUACCCAAUCCCGACACGGGGAGGUAGUGACAAAAAAUACUGAUACAGGGCUCUUUUGGGUCUUGUAAUUGGAAUGAGUACAAUUUAAAUCCCUUAACGAGGAACAAUUGGAGGGCAAGUCUGGUGCCAGCAGCCGCGGUAAUUCCAGCUCCAAUAGCGUAUAUUAAAGUUGUUGUGGUUAAAAAGCUCGUAGUUGAACCUUGGGCCUGGCUGGCCGGUCCCCCUCACCGGGUGCACUGAUCCAGCCGGGUCUUUCCCUCUAUGGAACCCCAUGGCCUUCACUGGUCGUGUC